rnacentral:rRNA from 1 species
CCCUUAGAUGGUCUGGGCGGCACGCGCGCUACAAUGAUGCAUUGAAAAAGUCUUCUGACCUUAGAAGGUUGGGUAUUCUCCAAAGUGCAUCGUGAUGGGAAUAGUUUAUUGCAAUUUUUAAUCUUGAACGAGGAAUUCCUAUUAAGUACAGGUCAUCAACUUGUGUUGAUUACGUCCCUGCCCUUUGUACACACCGCCCGUCGCUCCUACUGAUUGAGUGUCUCGGUGAAUUCUUUGAUCUUCUGUCGAUUCAGUUCACUGAUCCGACGGUGGAAAGUUGAAUGAACUUCGUCACUUAGAGGAAGGAGAAGUCGGAACA